GACCUGGUAGCUCAGCCGGUAGAGCACCUGACUUUUAAUCAGGGGGCCGCGGGUUCGAAUCCCGCCCGGGUCACCA
rnacentral:tRNA from 8 species